UAGGUCCUAGGAAAGGCUACAUGGAUUUCU
rnacentral:piRNA from 2 species